GCCGAACCCAGGAUGGGCGACCGUCCGGGACCGGGGACCCAUCGCAGUACUGGGGUGAAUCCUGCGCGCCGAACUGCCGGCCGCAGGUAGGGCGUCUUCCAGCCCGAAUCCGUCAGCUAACUCGGUAGGCGGCACUGGAAG
rnacentral:sRNA from 1 species